rnacentral:lncRNA from 1 species
GUGUGUGUGUGUGUGUAUGUGUAUGUGUGUGUGUGUGUCAAGGGAAGAGCAAAAAUGAGAGAGAAGGCUCUGGUUGAGUGUCCAGAAAACCUAAAAGGAUAAUGGAGCCCCUCCCCACCGCCCCAGGCUGGUUGAAUUUCCCUGAUGCUGCAGUGUGUCCCCACCUCCAUCACCAGACUCUGUCCCUCUGGGGAAGGUCAUUCUGGGUGUGGCGUAGGAAGCACGGCUGCCUGCAAGACUGAGGGCAAUGAUACAGGCCACAUAGACUUUACUUUCAGUUGAAGUGAAAACAGAAACUUUUGAGGUUUAAAAAAUAACACUAGACUUCAUUACAUUUUUGUUCCUUCCUUGCCCCCAAAUACCACCAUAAUCAGAGCAUAAUGGAUAUCCCGUCUGGAAAUAUUCCUAGCCCAGACAGUACGAUGAAGAGCUCUCAGGCCAGACUGGGAGAGAGGCAUUAUUUUUAGGGUCAGUUAUCUCAGGAAAAGCACCAAGAGCCAAGAGGUCCUUGGCAGCAUUGCCCACCACAAUUAAGAAAACCAAUAUUCCAUUUAGCAGAAGGUCUUAGAACAUGGCUCACGCCAGUAGAGCAGUUUAUACUUUUCAAAGUGUUUUUUAAAUUAUACUUUCCUUUCUGAGUGGUUUUAUUUAUCUAACAGAUAGUCCUCUUUAAUUACGUACUCAAAAGACUUUUCCUCCCACUGAAUACAACUGCGUUUUCCAACAAUACAGCAUUGUGAUUUCUUAGAAACACUGUUUUCAGGUUUUCUGAGUCUCCCUUGUCUUUUCUGUGGUUUUUAAUAAUUUAUCCCUCCAGCCUGCUUUCUCUUGAUCUGUGGAUACAAGCUGGCCUUUCUGCUUUCCUGCCAUGCCAGUAAGAACCUAUCACAAGAUCUCACCUCUCUCUGGGUCCUCUGACUCUUGCAUUUUAGAAAUCCUCAUGUGUCUUCAUUUUCCUCCAGGUUUAGGCCACCUACCUCCAAAUCCCUCUCUUAAAGUCAUAUUCAUCUCCUGGGGAAGACCCUUCUCUCUUUCCCACGAACAUUAUGUUGAAUCUACUACAACUUUAAGUAAAAAUGUUUCACACGAUGACCUUCUGAAUAUCAGAUUUUAAAAAUGUCAUGCAACCUUUUAAAGAUCUUUAACUCUUUUUCAGAAGAAUUUCUCUGAGAAUUCUGACUUCUGUUUUCACAACUGCAUUUUGACAUCCUCAGCUCAGCUCUGUUGUACCAGUUACUUCCCCUGCAUUCCAAACCAGUUCUUUCUAUUUUCAAAAAUCCAUUCUCACUCCCAGUACUCUCUGGGCUCGUGAGCUUUUUAUCCCAGGGAAGUGAAAUCUGAGGCCUGUGCCUGGAGUGCUGCUCAGCUCCUGAACAUGGAGAGCCCAAGCGUUUAACUAGAAAGCAGCUGUGUCAUCGCAGAGCUUAUUGCCUUUCUUCCUGAAACUGCAGCAUGGGAUUCUCCAAGGCUCAACGUGCCCUCAGCCUCAGCAAGACCCUCCUCUCAUCAGCAGGAGACAAACACAAACAUGCCAGCAAGCAAGACCAGGUGCUACUUGAUCACUCCCGCAAUGAUGGCUAAAGCCUUCCAGUUCUGCACAUUUGCUUUCCUCUCUGCAAUCUUUAUUUGGGCCCCAUGAUUUCUUUAAAGAGAAAAUAAGCAUACAGAAACAGUAAUGCAUGAAAUAAUACGAUGUCUGGGAUGUUGCUUCAGAAUUAUUCAGUGCAUAGGGGGGAAGUGGGAAGUCAUAAGGAGAGAAAAUUGGCCAUGAGUUGAAAAUUGUUGAAGUCAAGUGAUGGAUAGAUACAUGGGGAUUCAUCACAUUAUUUUACUACUUAUGUGUAUGUUUGAGAAUUUCCACAAUGAUUUUUUUUUCAAAAAGAUAAUGGGUGAAGUGCUCAGAGGGGAUAGUCAAAAACAUCAUUUCCCUCACCGAGGACCUCAGCCAGAGCUGCCCUUAACAGAGCUGUCACUGAGUUACUGGCCUCAGUCAGCAUCUUGUCCUCUGCUGGGGCAGAGCUGCUUCAUGCUAGGGUGGGUGACGGCAGGUCUGGCACCUGGUCAGGGAAGGAGCUGAUGGCAGACCCCAGGCACCCUGCCCACAUAAGUGCCCUGCCUCUGAAGUCUCCAAGGCGCCCAAUGGUGGGCACUGCUGGUUUCAUUGGAGGUCUCAUAGGGCAGCCUUUAGGGGACCCCCAAGAAAGGUGUGAGGCAAACUUCUAAUGUUUCCCUGUCCUUGCCAGGGCAGAUGUAGAAUUCCUACAGAAAGCUUUUGCUUUUUUUAGCAAUUCCAGCGGAUCAUCCUCACGCUUCUGGUGCCCUCUCAUCCCAUUCUGUUAAUUCUUACACAGCCCUGACUUCCCUGCAUGGGCCAUUUCAGUUUGCUAAUACCUGGCUUUGAAAACAGCAACUGGAAGCUUGCUCAGCUAUCUCCUAAAGCCAUGGAAUUGUGGGGAACACAGGGCUCUGCCCUCCUCCGUGUGAAUCCUGUUCUUCUAUAAGUCCCCCAAUCUUUGCUGGCAGGCUGGUGAGUGGGUCCCCCUCCUCUGAUGGGGCCUGCCUGGCCCACUGCCUGGGAUAGCUGUCCAUAUGUAUACAGUUGAUCCCAGGAGGAAAGUGGGCUGAAAUCCAGCUUAUGCUCUAUGUACACAGGUCGGGGGCUGCCCAGAGAGGCUCCCACCCCUUUAAGGGCUGGAAGUCACCUUGUACUCUCAACCCCAUUCCUCUGGUUCUUAUUUUUCUCCACUCUCUGUGGAAUCCCACAGAGCCAUCUGAAUGCCAGACUUCCCACCCCCAGGUGCUGUCUCUUCUCAGAGCCAGGCCUGCCCUGGGUGGCCCUCUUUUCUCACCUGUCCCAGCCUCACUUGAACAGAAUUUUCUGUGUGUUAUCGCUGUUCACUACUCCAGCUACAGCUACUGCAGCCCCCACUAUCUCCCACCUGAAUCACACUACAGCCCCCUGUCACCCACAGUUUGGCUCCCCACCAGGGGCCCUCACCUGUAAUCUCACCUAUAGGAGCAGAUGCCAUGACUCUGUUUAACCUCUCACCUACAGGUAAACAUGAGUGUCUAGGCUGGCCUGUGGUACCCCCUGACCUGGCUUUUACCCACUGCCUUGGCCCCUUUCUUACCACCUGUUAUGUCUCUGGCCUUCUCCCUGCCCGAGAGCUCUCCUCUGCACAGGCUUUGACCUUCCUCCUCCCAGACUCAGCUCUAGGCGUCACCUCCUCCAUGGCCCCUUCCUAACCAGCUUCCAGCCCCCUGACUCCUAUGCACAUUUUCUGAUUGCUAAUGCUUUUAUAUAAACAGAUGAUGACACACAUUGCAUUUUAGAAUAUUUUCAAUUUUCAUAAAAGUUACAAAGAUAGUAGAGAGUUUUCAUCUACCCUUCACCUGUUUUCCUAUAAAGUUAUUAACAUCCCACAUUGCCAUGGUGUACCUGUCAAAACUAAGAAACCAACAUUGCUUGUUGAUGUCUUUUCAGCUGUUUUUAAACAAGGAAGUCUGGAAUUGAGUACGUAAGCAGAGCUGAAUCCACGGCUGUGAAGAGGGGAGCUGGCCACCCUGUGCAGUCUGGAUUCUCCAGGCAGAUGGUGGACAUGAGAAAGUGGCCUGCACCCUGAGUUGCCCUUUGGUGGCCUCAAGGGAGUCCAAGUUCCCAACCUCUGUCCAACAAGCUGACACUCACAGCCUUCUAGAGAUAGUGGGUGAUGUCACAAUUUGCUCCCACAGGGGACUGUGAUGGGGUCAGGGGGAGAAGAAGAAGAAAUAACAUCUAUCAAAUCAGCCCUGCCUCAAAGUUCAGCUCACCCACCAGGAAUAAAACAUUUUCUACUGAAAAUGAAGAUAGUUUCUGAGUGUCCAGAUCAAAGACAGAAACAUAAUCUGUUGCAAAAUUUCUGCUCUUCUUGAGUUGCUGAAAGUAGUUCUUCCUGGUGCUAAAAGACUGCAGCUCCUUGAGAGAAGAGAAUAUGUCAGUUUUGUUCUCUGCUGUAACCUCAAUGCUGAGAGCAGGGUACAGAAUUCAGCUUCCACAUUUUUAUAACAAGGCUAUAAUACCUGUCUGAUGCAGCUAUUACAAAAUCUGAAGGAUAUAGCAACAAGGUACCAUCUUAGAAGCAGAUGCCAGACACAGCCCUCAGCAGGCACCAGAUCUACUGGCACCUUGAUUUUGAACUUCCCAGCCUCCAGAACUGAGCAAAUAAAUUUCUAUUAUUUGUAAAUCACUCAGUCUGUGGUAUUUUGUUAUAGCAGCAUAAAUGGACAAAACCAGAUAUGUAUAUAUACACUUGCCAGGACUAAUUUAUAAAGCCAAUUUAGAAGGAGAUUCUGGGCCACUGGACAGUCUGGGACAAUAUACAUGGAAAUAACUAACUCUUGAAUCACUGCACAUUUUGUGAUUCUGGAAGAUGUACAAGUAUAGGAGGUGUAAGUUGAGAGCAGUGAUCACCUUGAAAACAAAAUUAAAAAUUCAUUCUUGCAGUUGCAUUGACUAAUAUGCAAAAAUGUUGUUUAUUAGUACCAAAUACUAAUAUGAUAAAAAUGUUGAGGUCACUAACAGAAUAGAAUGCAAGGGACAUUAAUAUUUUGGGGAUGAAAACUUUCAUUUCAUGAAGUGACAGGACAUGAGGAACCUAAGCUCAAGGACAUUGCAUGACAGUGAAAGGUUUCAAAGCUGGUCGGUGGAUAACAGGGUAGGACCUAGAACCUCAAGUUCCUGAGCCCAGGCCACAGCCUCCACAUGGGCCUCUUCCUCUAAGAAAUUACUGGAAUCUUCCUGCUUGGUUGGCUCCUGUGGCCUUGCUUUCACCCAAGGUGCCAUGUGAUAUUCAUUAUUUGUGAGGAAAGAUACAUAAGAUUUCAGUGAUAUAAAUCCCAUCCACUUAAGGGAUGAGACAGAGGGUCCAGGUGGAAAAGGCUCUAGGCACUGAGUUGAACCUUGCGGGAGUCUGGCUCUGUGAGACCCAGGAGUUCCCAUUCCCUGGAGCCGAGUGGA